rnacentral:rRNA from 1 species
GAAAGCGUGGGUAGCAAACAGGAUUAGAUACCCUGGUAGUCCACGCCGUAAACGAUGUCGACCAGCCGUUGGGUGCCUAGCGCACUUUGUGGCGAAGUUAACGCGAUAAGUCGACCGCCUGGGGAGUACGGCCGCAAGGUUAAAACUCAAAUGAAUUGACGGGGGCCCGCACAAGCGGUGGAGCAUGUGGUUUAAUUCGAUGCAACGCGAAGAACCUUACCUACUCUUGACAUCCUGCGAACUUGUGAGAGAUCACUUGGUGCCUUCGGGAGCGCAGAGACAGGUGCUGCAUGGCUGUCGUCAGCUCGUGUUGUGAAAUGUUGGGUUAAGUCCCGUAACGAGCGCAACCCUUGUCCUUAUUUGCCAGCGGGUAAUGCCGGGAACUCUAAGGAGACUGCCGGUGACAAACCGGAGGAAGGUGGGGACGACGUCAAGUCAUCAUGGCCCUUACGAGUAGGGCUACACACGUGCUACAAUGGCCGGUACAAAGGGUUGCGAGCUCGCGAGAGUCAGCUAAUCCCGAAAAGCCGGUCUCAGUCCGGAUCGGAGUCUGCAACUCGACUCCGUGAAGUCGGAAUCGCUAGUAAUCGUGAAUCAGAAUGUCACGGUGAAUACGUUCCCGGGCCUUGUACACACCGCCCGU